rnacentral:rRNA from 1 species
GAGUUUGAUCAUGGCUCAGAACGUACGCUGGCGGCACGCCUUAUACAUGCAAGUCGAACGAAGUAGCAAUACUUAGUGGCAGACGGGUGAGUAACAUGUAGGUAUCUGCCCUUUGGCCUGGAAUAACACGAGGAAACUUGUGCUAAUACCGGAUAAGUCUUUACGGAGAAAGCUUUAUGCACCAUUGGAUGAGCCUGCACUUGAUUAGUUUGUUGGUGGGGUAAUGGCCUACCAAGACAAUGAUCAAUAGCUGAUUUGAGAGGAUGAUCAGCCACAUUGGGACUGAGACACGGCCCAAACUCCUACGGGAGGCAGCAGUAGGGAAUCUUGCACAAUGGAGGAAACUCUGAUGCAGCGAUGCCGCGUGAGUGAAGAAGGCCUUUGGGUUGUAAAGCUCUUUCGUCGGGGAAGAAAAUGACUGUACCCGAAUAAGAAGGUCCGGCUAACUUCGUGCCAGCAGCCGCGGUAAUACGAAGGGACCUAGCGUAGUUCGGAAUUACUGGGCUUAAAGAGUUCGUAGGUGGUUAAAAAAGUUGGUGGUGAAAUCCCAGAGCUUAACUCUGGAACUGCCAUCAAAACUUUUUAGCUAGAGUAUGAUAGAGGAAAGCAGAAUUUCUAGUGUAGAGGUGAAAUUCGUAGAUAUUAGAAAGAAUACCAAUUGCGAAGGCAGCUUUCUGGAUCAUUACUGACACUGAGGAACGAAAGCAUGGGUAGCGAAGAGGAUUAGAUACCCUCGUAGUCCAUGCCGUAAACGAUGUGUGUUAGACGUUGGAAAUUUAUUUUCAGUGUCGCAGCGAAAGCAAUAAACACACCGCCUGGGGAGUACGACCGCAAGGUUAAAACUCAAAUGAAUUGACGGGGACCCGCACAAGUAGUGGAGCAUGUGGUUUAAUUCGAAGAUACGCGCAGAACCUUACCAACACUUGACAUGUUCGUCGCGACUCUAAGAGAUUAGAGUUUUCGGUUCGGCCGGACGAAACACAGGUGCUGCAUGGCUGUCGUCAGCUCGUGUCGUGAGAUGUUGGGUUAAGUCCCGCAACGAGCGCAACCCUUACUUUUAGUUGCUACCAUUUAGUUGGGCACUCUAGAAGAACUGCCGGUGAUAAGCUGGAGGAAGGUGGGGAUGACGUCAAGUCCUCAUGGCCCUUAUGUGUUGGGCUACACACGUGCUACAAUGGUAUUUACAGUGGGAUGCAAAGAGGCAACUCCUAGCCAACCCUCAAAGAAUACCUCAGUUCGGAUUGUACUCUGCAACUCGAGUACAUGAAGCUGGAAUUACUAGUAAUCGCAGAUCAGCGCGCCGCGGUGAAUACGUUCCCGGGUCUUGUACACACCGCCCGUCACACCAUGGAAGUUGGUUACACCUUAAGGCAAAGUGUAAAAUCUUUGACUACGGUACGAUCAGCGACUGGGGUGAAGUCGUAACAAGGUAGCC